rnacentral:rRNA from 1 species
UACGUAGGGCGCAAGCGUUAUCCGGAAUUAUUGGGCGUAAAGAGCUCAUAGCGGUUUGUCGCGUCUGCCGUGAAAGUCCCGGGGCUCAACUCCGGAUCUGCGGUGGGUACGGGCAGACUAGAGUGAUGUAGGGGAGACUGGAAUUCCUGGUGUAGCGGUGAAAUGCGCAGAUAUCAGGAGGAACACCGAUGGCGAAGGCGGUGUGCUGGGUUUGCAACGACGCUGAGGCACGAAGCGUGGGAGCAAACAG